rnacentral:lncRNA from 1 species
UAAUAAACAUAUAUUUUGAUGAAAUACUUUGUUAUAUAUACAAUUUAUUUGAUGUUUGAUUUAACAUUUUUGAGAACUUAAAUAACAAUUUAUCAUGAUGGUUUUGAAUUAAUAAAACAUUAGCUAAUAAGUAUUCGUAAAAAUGUUAAGCAUGCAUUGCUAGUAAAACACCUAGUUAAUUCUAUAUUGUAAUAUUCAAAGAUUCUCCGUUUUAACCACUAAUGUCCUUUGGAAUUUACACAUAUGAUCCCAUCCCGCUCUCAAUAUCAGUUUCCAAAGAAGAUUUUGAUAGUUUGAUUCACAUUCCCAUGUACUCUUUUUACCUAAAAGUAGAGAUGAUUUGUCAAAGUUAAUACACUGAUCUGAGUCUUUUCCAAAUAUCCUAACAACUCUCU